GGGAGAAGGAGAGACGCCAACGUUGGAUACAACUUGUUCGCCGUGACAAGAACACGGCCACUGCCGCAGCGUGCUUCCACUAGCCGGCUAUGCCUGCUCUGCAGUCGCAGGUCGCGUCAAUGACGCAUCCGUUUCGAGAGAACUUCAA
rnacentral:lncRNA from 1 species